rnacentral:pre_miRNA from 1 species
GGCUGAGCCGCAGUAGUUCUUCAGUGGCAAGCUUUAUGUCCUCACCCCGCUAAAGCUGCCAGUUGAAGAACUGUUGCCCUCUGCC